UACGGGGGGGGCAAGCGUUGUUCGGAAUUACUGGGCGUAAAGGGCUCGUAGGCGGCCAACUAAGUCGGACGUGAAAUCCCCAGGCUCAACCUGGGAACUGCGUCCGAUACUGGAUGGCUUGAAUCCGGGAGAGGGAUGCAGAAUUCCAGGUGUAGCGGUGAAAAUGCGUAGAUAUCUGGAGGAAUACCGGUGGCGAAGGCGGCAUCCUGGACCGGCAUUGACGCUGAGGAGCGAAAAGCGUGGGGGAGCGAACAGG
rnacentral:rRNA from 1 species